GCACUUACCUGACCGUUCUGUGGCUAAAGGCCCUCCAGGCCUGUCCCCUGACAUUCUGUGUCCCCACCUCUCCAGAGUGGCCUGGAUGCCUAAGAAAUGUGGCUUGGUUUCCAAGCAAGACUUGAGAGAUUUUUCCGUGUUCGUGAACUUUCCUCCCCCUCCCCUCACAGGGGCUUUGCAGGGGAGGAGGGGGAGGAGCAAGAAGCGAGGGGAGGGGGCGCCACGUGGACUUGGCCUUUAGGCGAGUGGGAGGGGCCGGCCCCCAGGCUGCAGUAGCCCAGGGAAGGGUAGGGGCCUGACGGGGAUCAUUGUACCACCCUUUGACUUAAAACCCAAAGUCCCACAGCGGGAUUCCCACCCCCACGGCUCCUCUGCCUCCGCCCUGCAGACCCCCAGGAGGCCAGGAGGCCUUCAGAAAGGAGUCUCCGGAGGCAGCCCAGCUGUGCAGACCCUGACAUUGAACACGCAGCCCAAGUUCUCCAUCUUUAUCCUGCAGAAAAACUGACGAAGUUCUGGAGGAGGACACACAGCAAUGUGAAUACCCUGGGCGUUGCUGAACUGCCCCCUGGGGCAGGGCAAAGACCGCCACCGGUUAAUUCGGUGUUUGGUGAAGGCCCAGUGCUCCCUGUGUCCUCAGGUAUUUCCGGAGGGUUCCAUCAGAGGGGCGGUGACAAGCUCGGACUGGCCUCCAGGAAGGGGUCCUGGGGUCCCUCCACGAACAGUCCAGACGUGAACAUACUUCAUCAAAGGGAAAGGGUCUGGGUUCAGGCCCCGGGGCCCCGUGAGUUUGGCUGUAAAAUAAAUUGCCCGGACGAGAGAUUUUCAAGGCCGACCUUCCAUGUGGCUCGGAACGCCCGGGUCAAGGGGCCCCCUGCCCCCAGACUAGCCACCAGCUUUCCCCCCUCCCACCCCCGGAACCAGAGCCACCCCGAACUUCUUUGCUUGUUGUGAGAAAGUAGUUGCGGACCAUGAAGAAACGGAUGGGUGUGGCUGCGUUCCAAUAAAACUUUAUGUAUAAAAUGGGCGCGGCCGGCCCCCGGGUUAUGGAAUUAAAGGGACUGGUUUGGAAUCUGGAUGCAGGCACCUGGCGUGAGAGGGAGGUCAUCCCAGCAGCAAGCCUGCCCUUGUCCACGAGUAGGGCCCCAACCCAACUCCCUCUGGGG